rnacentral:rRNA from 1 species
UGGGGAAUAUUGGACAAUGGGCGCAAGCCUGAUCCAGCCAUGCCGCGUGAGUGAUGAAGGCCCUAGGGUUGUAAAGCUCUUUCACCGGUGAAGAUAAUGACGGUAACCGGAGAAGAAGCCCCGGCUAACUUCGUGCCAGCAGCCGCGGUAAUACGAAGGGGGCUAGCGUUGUUCGGAUUUACUGGGCGUAAAGCGCACGUAGGCGGACUUUUAAAUCAGGGGUGAAAUCCCGGGGCUCAACCCCGGAACUGCCUUUGAUACUGGAAGUCUUGAGUAUGGUAGAGGUGAGUGGAAUUCCGAGUGUAGAGGUGAAAUUCGUAGAUAUUCGGAGGAACACCAGUGGCGAAGGCGGCUCACUGGACCAUUACUGACGCUGAGGUGCGAAAGCGUGGGGAGCAAACAGG